GGGGCCGUAGCUCAGCUGGUAGAGCACUUUAUCCUCCCCGACAUUUGCCCGCGGGACGGGCCGAAGGUGGAGGGUUAUCGACUGUCACUCGAGAGGUCGCGGGUUCGAGUCCCGCCGGCUCCA
rnacentral:tRNA from 1 species